AUAUCCUAGCAACCUUGGGCUGGUGAUUAACCUCACUGUUCCUCAAAACGGGCUCAUAAUAACAGCGCCCACUGGAGUGGGUACCACGAGGACCAGCUGAACUGAGUUUUAUGUGUCGUUGACAAAAAGGCAGGCGGGAGAAAUGACUGCAAUGGUGGAAGCGACUCCAGGCUCCACUCUCUGUAAAAACAUUCCUCUUAUGGACAAAGUCAACAAUGAACCAAGAAAUGACCAGAGAACCAGGAGCCUCGGGAAACAUCUAGAAACUUGAGAUGAUGGAUAGAAUUACAUGAGAAACCCAGCAAAUCCCUUUGAGCAUGUGAUAAUUGUCUGGUAAGAAGGGCUACUCAGCCUGCCACAGAAGGUGUUUUAGUAAAUCAACCAUUCUCCAAUAGAAAAUGCAAAAGUUUUGAUUAAUCAAAAAAAUAAAAAGUGUUUCACAGUCUGUCUGGCUGAACCAGGACGGGACAGGACACCCCCAGCAUAAGGUAAGGCUUCCUGGAAUUUACUGAUAAGCAGAGUGAG